ACUAGAUAGGCCACAUGCUUCACAAGGAGGUGAGAAGGUAGGUGUGCUCAUGCGAUCAAGUCUUUGAGAUAAUGUAUUCACCUUGGUAGAUAAAUAGUCAAUGGAAGAGGUUUCAUCCAUACCUGCCUCUUUUUUAGAGGGUGAAGGAUCGAUGGUUGCUUUUUCUUCUGUCCAUUGGAAGAGGUUUAGAGCCAUGUUCUCAAUUAACGCAUAAGCUGUUGUGAAGUCUUUGUUCAUUAGGGCACCACCUGCAGCUGCAUCAAUAGUC
rnacentral:lncRNA from 1 species